AUAGAGACUCAGAGCUGCAUAUCAAUAAGCGGAGGAAAAGAAACUAACAAGGAUUCCCUUAGUAACAGCGAGUGAAGCGGGAAGAGCUCAAAUUUGAAAUCUUCAAGGUUCUACCUUGACGAAUUGUAGUUUAUAAGAAGUGUUUUCUGUUAGUAGGAGUGGCAAAAGUUCUUUGGAAUAGGACAUCAUAGAGGGUGAGAAUCUCGUAUUUGGUCAUUCCUCCUAGCUUUGUGAUACACUUUCAACGAGUCGGAUUGUUUGGGAAUGCAGUCCAAAAUGGGUGGUAAAUUUCAUCUAAAGCUAAAUAUUGGCGAGAGACCGAUAGCGAACAAGUACCGUGAGGGAAAGAUGAAAAGAACUUUGAAAAGAGAGUUAAACAGUACGUGAAAUUGUCAAAAGGGAAGCGUUUGACACCAGUGUUGUUUUUCCGAAAAUCAAUUACUAAAUGUUUUAGUUUUGAGGAGUGAUGACUUCAUCGGCUUGCUUCUCUCUUCAUGAAACUUUCUGUAAUGCACUUUUCGGUUAACAAGUCAACAUCAAUUUCUUUUGUUGUAAAAGAGUAUUAGGAGGGUGGCUUUCUUUUCGGAGAAAGUGUUUAUAGCCUUAUACCUCUACAAUCGGAGAGAUUGAGGUCUGCAGCGUAGAUCCUUCGGGGUUAGAUACAUUUGUGCUAAGUUAUAGCUUUUCAUAGACAACUUGUUGAUUAUGAUCUAGUCUUGUAGCUUACUCGCUUAUGCUAUUUUACCUACGCUUAGGAUGUUGACGAGACUGUCGAUCUC
rnacentral:rRNA from 1 species